GACAUUUCAUUCUAGAUGUCGCAAAUGAAUAGUUAUGAUGCAUGCUUCUUUGGCAUGAAAACUAAAUAACAUGAGGUAGUCAAGGCGUGUGUGUGGAUGGGGGAGUCAAUGUAUUUGGUAUAAUGUUUGGCUAAUUUGGUGGCAAACUAGCAUGUUUAGUGGCAGACUACUUGGGAAUGGAAUGAAAAUAGGAAUAAGACGGAAUCAAUCAAUGGAUGGACAUGGACAUUACGGCAGCCCCCACGUCAUGAGGUG
rnacentral:lncRNA from 1 species